AACCCUAACCCUAAUUUACCAUCACUUCACUCUCUCUCUCUCUCAUUUGUAUUUGCGGCGGCUCUUUACAGAAACGGUCGACGAUCGUCGUUCUCUCUGGCUUUUGUUCGCCUUUGUUCGCCGUUCUCUCCAUUAUCCGUUUGCAGAAGCGAAAUCGAUCAUCGUUCACGUGUUUGCUGUUGCGAGUCUCCUUCUCUUUGCGAAAACGAUCGCCCUCGGUCUGUCCUUCUCCGCCUUGCGCCUCCUUCGUCAUUCGCCGGAGAUUCAGAUAGUGCGGAAAACAUUUGUAACCGAAGACGGAGUGAGGAAAGAGCCGAAGCAAGUUGCUAGGGAGAUACUCUCAUUCUUCACACGCAUCAAUUUCCAAGUCAAUGAUCGAGAAGAGACGACCGCGUAGAGGGCCCUGUUUACGUAAAAUCUGGUGAAAUUUCUCAGGAAAAAUUGUGAAUUUGGACAUGAAUCUCAUGUGGGUUUGCAUCUAACCCAUUUAGGUUUGAGGGAAUGAUGAUUCCAAACAGAUCCAUGUUUAAAUUUUACUCAUGAAUCAUGAUAUAUUUUGGAUUUUAUUCAAUUGUAUUUUGGAUAUAUUUUGGAGUAUGGAUUUUAUGUUAUUGA